rfam:Triticum aestivum genome assembly, contig: Triticum_aestivum_CS42_TGACv1_scaffold_178457_2DS
AAGGUGGAUGAGGAAGAUAUUGUCUCUCACAUCCUCGCUGGACUCGAUGAGGAGUUCGAUCCUGUGUUGUCUGCCUUGUGCUCCCUGGUCGUGCCCAUUGGGGUCCCGGAGUUGUACUCGCAGCUCCUGAGCUUUGAGA